rnacentral:lncRNA from 1 species
CCUGGCUAGCCUUGUGCUUGUAGGGGAGACUCACUCGUGAGGAUGUCCCUCCUUUAGAGACCAAUUCCCAAACAGCUGACUGUCCUCUUUCCUGAGGGAGAAAACUCUGUUGGUCCUUACUGCCGUAUCUCCUGUGGCAGAUGCAGAACAUGCAGGCCCACCUAGAGAGGGAGAAAAAGUGGCUGGAGCUGUCUCGCCGUGAGGACCAGGAGCAAAAGGGGGAUAUGCAUGAUAGCAGACUGAGGUCCCAGCAAGAUCCAGCGACGUUACAAGCCCUGGCCUACAACAGGGUCAUCCUGUGGCUUCCCUGGCAAGGUGGGUCUCGUGGCACGGGUCAGGAACCUCUGCUGCCUGAGAGCCGCUACCCGGCUCUGCCUGCUGCAGUGGGAGCGGGGAGCGGAUGGAUGCAAGGACGUCUGAGGACCACAGGGUUGCCGCUGCUGAGCAUCUCCUCCUCACACGGCAGGGCCGGCAGCAGUGUUGCAUCCCCCGCGCAGGAGAGGCUCAGCCCUCUCCAAUCUGUGCAAUGCAGCCCUCAGGGCUCAGGCCCUCCGAGAGAGCCGUUGGAGGAGGCUCCUGCGGACUUCGUGCCUCCCGGGCGUCUGUCCGAGGUGGAGAGGCUACGGCGAGAGCUGCAAAGAGAGAUCACUGCCCGCCAGGAGAAGGAAGAGCUGGUGCAGACUUUGAGAGCGGUACGUCCAGAAAGGGUUAUUGGAGUCCCUUCAGGGAGACAGCGUCCGGGGCACGACCCAGCUGAACCACGUUAGAUGGCCGUGACCCUUCAGCUGCCUUGGGAGAAGUGCACCAUGGACCUAGAGGCCUGCCGAGAUGCUCUGGGUUUUAAAACUGGCCCUGGGUGGGAACGUGUUGUGUAUCAGAUCAUUCAAGCUCUAGGGAGGAUUUAUGAGGACGCGCACACCCUCCAAACCUACGUCUGCAACAGUGCAGCAGAGUUCCAAAAAGGAAGAAAGAAAGGACAAAGGCACUAGUGGGAUUGCACCUAGCCCCAAAUGCCUCCCGCGCCUGCUUCCGCACCCCUCGUUUCUUCCACCCAGGCUGCGCUGUAUCUCCUCCCUUAUCUCAAGAUGG